rnacentral:rRNA from 1 species
UACGUAGGGGGCGAGCGUUGUCCGGAUUUAUUGGGCGUAAAGCGCUCGCAGGUGGUCCGAUACGUCGUGCGUGAAAGCCCCCGGCUCAACUGGGGAGUGUCGUGCGAUACGGUCGGACUGGAGGCCAGUAGGGGGAUGCGGAAUUCCGGGUGUAGUGGUGGAAUGCGUAGAGAUCCGGAGGAACACCAGCGGCGAAGGCGGCAUCCUGGACUGGUCCUGACACUCAUGAGCGAAAGCGUGGGGAGCGAUCCGG